GAUCAGCGUGCCGUGGAGACUCCGCUGAAGGAAGCAGAGCUCACAACAGCCAGUGAGCAUGCCUUGUGCUGGAAUCUCCCCCAAGAACAUGACCUUUGACCCGGAAGACCUCUGCUACGUUCUGAGCAGUGGGUGCAGCUGGGAUGUGAGGUUGGAGAGAUCACAACAGUCCUAAAAUGAUCAGAUCAGAAAGACAGGUGUCCUGAGUUUCUCAGGCAGGAAGGAGUCAUAAGCAGAGAAGUCUAAGAAGUCCUGCUCUGAGGAAGAUGGACUGCCCUCUGGAAGGAUCCUCCCACCAGAGUGAGCCCCGAAAGAGCUGUGAAACCGUCUAGCAGCUCAGCUGGGCUCCAGGGCUCGCUGGCGGCCCUGCUCAGUCCUCCGUACAUAGUCGAGGAUGCUUCCCGGAAGCCUUCCCUCACUCUGUCACCUGUGGUCAGGCCUGGCGCCUUUCCUUCCCAACCCUGCCCAAAUCUUUCUCCACUGUCUCUCACUGGAGGUGGACAAGCUACGUACCGCUCAUGGGAGUAAAAUCUAGCCUGCAGCCAGACUCUGUCCUCCCAGUGAACUGAGCAUUAUUGUGGUGUUUCUAAGUGGUGCGUGGGAGGGAGAUGUGUGUAACAGUAAGUGCGUACGGCUCUGCCUUUAACUCAAAAUACUCAUCGAGUCUUGUGUCUUACAGUGCCGGCUUACUCUCUCUCACACAAAUAUCAGCAAACUGAAUCCCAUCCUGCCGUCCUCAUCGGAGAGGGCGGACCUGGGCUACCAUCAGAAGUGGUUCCAUGAGUGGUUGAAGGAAACAGACAGCACUGUGGAGACUCAGGAUUGGCCCCGACGUCUUUGUGGGGGUGAGCUGACGGCAUCCUGGCGAGUAGGUGGUUAGUAGGUAAGCUACAGAUAAGCCCUGGAUGGCAAUGGCAACUUAAUGCUUAUGGUAGUCUGUGCUAUGCAGCAACUUGAGGACAUUAUCCGCUAGAGGAGAAAGCAGCGGGAGAGACGGCAUUCUGGACUAAGACGCCAAUAAGGGCAGCAGAAGGGGCUGCUGCUGCUAAACUGUACGUAUGCCCUGGAGAACCAUCAGGAGUCGUGAAGGCUGUGAGAAAUCCUUGACUGCUAAAUUGGAGCACCAGACGGUGCUAUUGGUCACCCACGAGAGGCUCGCCUUGCCCUUAGUAGAAGAGUGCGUGGCCACGUGAGCUCACAGCACAGCAAGCAUGGAGGGCAUCAAUAGCCUUGAUGGGGGGGUGGGUGGUAUCUGGGUGAAUGAGCGCCCUUGAGGACGCCAGCUGCAGUUUCCUGCUGCCUCCGUGUCCCCGGAGUCACAGCUUCGCCUGCCAGCUUGACACAGGCUUACAGAGUUGGAGGAGAGCUUCGGCCGAGAAGUCGCCUCCAUCAGGUUGGCCUGUGGGAGUGUCUGUGGAGCAUUUCUUGAUCGCUGAUUGGUGGAAGGAGGCCAUGCCCAUGUGGUCAGCACCAUCUUCAGGAAGGUGGCUCCGAGCUGUGGAAGAGAGGCAGCUGAGUGUGAACGAUGAACCAGCCGGUGAGCCAGCCGGUGACAGUGCUCCCCAUGGUGUGAAUCAUGGUGUGAAUGUCAGUGAUGAGCCAGCCGGUGACAGUGCUCCUCAUGGUCUGACUGUGUGUGAUGAGCCGGCCAGUGACAGUGCUCCCCAUGGUGGGAAUGUCAGUGAUGAGCAAGACAGUGACAGUGCUCCUCGUGGUCUGACUGUGUGUGAUGAGCCGGCCAGUGGCAGUGCUCCCCAUGGUGGGAAUGUCAGUGAUGAGCAAGACAGUGACAGUGCUCCUCGUGGUCUGACUGUGUGUGAUGAGCUGGCCAGUGACAGUGCUCCCCAUGGUAUGAAUGUCAGUGAUGAGCAAGACAGUGACAGUGCUCCUUGUGGUCUGACUGUGAGUGAUGAACAAGCCAGUGCUCCUUGUGGUCUGACUGUGUGUGAUGAGCCGGCCAGUGACAGUGCUCCCUGGCCACUGCUUCACACCCAGCCUCCUGCUGAGCUCCUGCCCUGACUUCUCUGGACGAUGGACUGUCCCCUGUAAGCUAAAAUAAACCCUUCCCUCCCCAGGUUGAUUUUACUUAUGGUGUUUAUCUCAGCAACUGAAAGUCCGUCAGGGAGCAUGGUAAGUGCCAGCACUUCCGUGUGCUGGAAGAUUCUAGGAGUCUCCCAAGCAGGAUAGGGCCCGUGGCUUUUAGACCCACCUGCGGCUCCCUGCCUGUCCUCUGGCCGAUGAGUACACCUGAUGCCCGCAGAACCAGGUGUUAGGGCCUGCUAGGGGCUAACCUGUGAACCCAGAGAACAGUGACACGGCCCUGCAGGAGCCAGGGAAUGCCCGGAGUCCGCUCCAAGGUUGUUUUCAAAGGUGUGAGCCCUACUGGACACGGAGCUUGGCUGCUUUGGGUGUGCCCUCGGAUUGCAGACCCAACACCUGCGUAAUCUCUAAGUGGAGACCUCAGGUUUGCUGCUGAUGUGUGCCUGCGUGUGUAUGCGGUACGUGAGACUGUACGCACUCGGAGGCCAGAGUAAAACAGCAGCUGUCUUCCUCCUUUGCUCUCCGCCUGAUUGCUUUGAGACCCGUCUCUCUGAAGUGUCUCCUCCGCUGGCCAGCCCGAGGAAUGCAGUCACAGUCACAUGCAGCCAUUCCUGCCUUUCGGGGGUGUUGGAGAUUUGAACUCAGGACCUCAUGACUACAAAGCAAACGCUCUCACCUACUCACUGUUCUUGUUAGGUUUUUAUUUAUGUGGUAAAACACUGACCAAAAUUAACUUGGGAAGGAAGGAGUUUAUUAACUUUUCAGCUUACAGUCCAUCAUCCAGGGAAGUAAGAAACUCAAGGCAGGAACCUGCAGUCAGGAGCUGAUGCGGAGCCCAUGGGGGAGAGAUUCUCACUGGCUUACUCCUCGUGGCUUGCUCAGCCUGCUUUCUUAUAGAACCCAGGACCACCAGCCAUGGGUGGUACCAACCACAGAGGGUUGAGCCCGCCCCGUCAAUCAUCAAUCAAGAAAAUGCCCCACAGACAUGCCUGUAGGCAAUUUGAUGGAGGUGGGUUUUUUGUUUGUUUGUUUGGUUUGGUUUGUUUUGUUUUUCUCAAUGAGCUGUUCUUACCAGAUAAUGCUAGCCUGGUCAAGCUGACAAAUGUGACCAGGACACCUGUGAGCCACUUCCCAUCUUCAACUGGCAUGGUUCUUAAAAUCUAAAAAAGGUUAGCUGGGUGUGGUGGUAGCGAAAGCCUUUAAUCCCAGAUACUUGGGAGGCAGAGGCAGACAGAUCUCUGAGUUCAAGGCUGAGUUUGUAACUGUAGAAGGCCCAGCAAAUACCUGUGUCUGUGAGGGACUCAUAGGACACACUGUUCAAGCAGGAAUGCAACAUUUGCCUUCAAAGUUCAUAAGGCUCUGCCUCACCUAUUAGGAACCUCAGGUUUUCUGUUCCUGCACACACGGUCUCAGCUGCACCACUGUCAGGGCUCGCAGAGCGCACACACGGUCUCAGGGCACCACCGUCGGGGCCAGCAGAGAGCACACGGUCUCAGCUGCACCACUAUUGGGGCUCGCAGAGUGCGCACACACGGUUUCAGGGCACCACCGUCGGGGCUCGCGAGCACACGGUCUCAGCUGCACCACCAUCCGGACUUAUAGAGUGCACACACACACGGUCUCAGCUGCACCACCGUCGGGGCUCACAGAGCGCACACGGUCUCAGCUGCACCACCGUCGGGCCUGGCAGAGCUCCCCACCCACAGGCCUGGCAUCCUACGCCACAGAGUAUCCUAUCCAUCCAUCCAUCCAUCCAUCCAUCCAUCCAUCCAUUCAAGACAUGCACCCCCAGCACUGCAGACCCUGGAGCUGCAGAUUGCGUUGCUGUAGGUGGCCUGCCACAUGGAUGCACGGAGACCUGCUCUAGGUCACAGGGGCCUUUUGUCACUGCUGCUGGUGGUACAUCCACAGGGACCCUAGAAGCAGAGAAAGUGAGUGAUGUCAUCGCAGAGAGAGAUGCAGCCGUGAGGGACAAAAUGACACUGAGACCUCACAGAUCUUGGUUUCCACUCAGGAGCUCUUUCCCUGCAGAAUAUAUUUUACCACCGCCACCUCUAACACCUCUUACCCCCCUUUUUUUUUGCACAAGCAAACAUAAUUUAAUUUCUAUUAUUUACAACUUUAUUUAGUUUAAUACAAUAAACAGGGGGGAAGCAAGCAGAUUUUACUUUGAUGUGAACUUUCCUAUAAACAAUAUCGUUCCCCUCGAAUGCAGAGAAGCUUUCUGCAAUUUCCACGUUUGGGGAGUCUGUCAUCAGCGUGUGGGAUGGAUCCCAGCUGGUGUACAUAGUUGAACAGCAGGACUUGAAAAGCCCCUUGCUGCUCCGGGAUGUGGUGACAAAUGUCAGGAAGGUGCGACUGGGAAAAUAAAAUUGUUUCACUGUUUCGAAAAUAAAAAACCAGCGAGUCCCCGAGUGCUGGAAACAUUCCAAA